GCACGGAUGGCCGAGUGGUCUAAGGCGCCAGACUCAAGCGACUGCUUCGUGCGAGUGAGCACGGUUCUGGGUGUUCUGGUAUCGUUAUCGAUGCGUGGGUUCGAAUCCCACUCCGUGCA
rnacentral:tRNA from 1 species